rnacentral:rRNA from 1 species
AUUGAACGCUGGCGGCAGGCCUAACACAUGCAAGUCGAGCGAGCGGCGGACGGGUGAGUAAUGUCUGGGAAACUGCCUGAUGGCGGGGGAUAACUACUGGAAACGGUAGCUAAUACCGCAUACCAUCAGAUGUGCCCAGAUGGGAUUAGCUAGUAGGUGGGGUAACGGCUCACCUAGGCGACGAACCCUAGCUGGACUGAGAGGAUGACCAGCGAAACCGGAACUGAGACACGGUCCAGACGCAUACGGGAGGCAGCCGUGGGGAAUAUUGCACAAUGGAGGAAAGCCUGAUGCAGCCAUGCCGCGUGUGUGAAGAAGGCCUUCGGGUUGUAAAGCACUUUCAGCGGGGAGGCGUUACCCGCAGAGGAAGCACCGGCUAAAUCCGUGCCAGCAGCCGCGGUAAUUC